AGGCACUAAUGGCAUUGUUGAAUGAAAACAGCAAAAAUGAAGAGUGAAGUAGGUUUAACAGUCUCAUGGAUUUGGAUUGGUUGUUCAUUCUGUAUCGCCUUUUUGUUUCUUCCUUGCGCUGCCUGGCAAUGCUUUUUUGGUAAUUUUUACA
rnacentral:ribozyme from 1 species